GACGAACGCUGGCGGCGUGCUUAACACAUGCAAGUCGAACGGAAAGGCCCUGCUUUUGUGGGGUGCUCGAGUGGCGAACGGGUGAGUAACACGUGAGUAACCUGCCCUUGACUUUGGGAUAACUUCUGGAAACUGGGGCUAAUACCGGAUAGGAGCUCCUGCUGCAUGGUGGGUGUUGGAAAGUUUCGGCGGUUGGGGAUGGACUUGCGGCUGAUCAGCUUGUUGGUGGGGUAGUGGCUUACCAAGGCUUUGACGGGUAGCCGGCCUGAGAGGGUGACCGGCCACAGUGGGACUGAGAAGGCGGCCGGACUGCUACGGGAGCAAGAGGCGGGAAACAUUGCACAAUGGGCGGCGGCCUGAAGCAGCAACGCCGCGUGCGGGAUGACGGCCGUCGGGUUGGAAACCGCUUUCGCCUGUGACGAAGCGUGAGUGACGGUAAUGGGUAAAGAAGCACCGGCUAACUACGUG
rnacentral:rRNA from 1 species